GCUUCCUGAAGAGAGGCUGAUAUCCUACUGUGCCCCCGAUCUGUGGGAGAAUGAGGUGUUGAACUUUCCGGACCAUGCUUUUCCCUUUCCGAUCCCAUUCACCAUCACAUCCAUGCACACGGAAACAAACGAACGAGGAAUUCAUUCAGAAUGGAAAUCCACAUCAUCAUCACACCAUCUGGAGGCUCCAUCUUCUGCGACUCACUGACGAAGUCUCGAGCCCCCAAUUACCAGUGAAAUCAAGUGCGUUUGUUAAAGGGGAAAACAUGAAAAAAAACUCAAAAAAUCGGAUACUUUUAAAUCUAAGUCAUGCAACAUGAAGGCGGCACUGGAAAUCCACCCUGCGUACCCCUGAUGUGUGGGCGCCUUGUUCUGCAAAGAGAGGCCCAACAGAACUUCAAAUAGCAACUCCGGACCAUGCGCCCCGUGGACCCAGUGCACCAAGUGCACAUUCAAGCUGCGUGUGUGGUAUUCACUGUAAAUUAGGGUCUUCUAGCUGCUCUUUUGCCGACCCCGCGCUCCACCGGGCCUCCCUCCCUGCCGCAGCUCUCCAGGGGAUUGAGAGUCGCUGGCCCCAUUAUUUCUCCCUGGAUCAGCCUGAGGAGGUCUUUCAGCCGAGGCUCGCCGGCUCCACUGCGCAGCAGCCGGGCGGAGCCGUGACCCGCUUACAGGAUCCAGUGCUGACUCUCCACAGACAAGAGAGAGGACAGGGGCACACAGCACCGCUGCCGAAACAUUCAUCCAAGCCUCCAUCACCUCUUGACUGGACUACUGCAAUAGCAUCUUAUAUGGCUCAUCCACCAAAUCAUCAACAAACUACAAUACAUUCAGAACUCAGCCGCUACUCUACGCUCCCGCACCAGAGAUGACAUAUUACAGUUUUCACAACCUUUCAAUGUCUCAAACUAUUUAUUAUAAACGGCCUUGGGAUUCUGAGACAUUUUCAUCAUGAUGCUUGGUGCUCAAACAGUUGACGGACAAUGUUUUUCUUUGUGUUGAAUUGUUAAUGUGAAGAUGUCAUAUCAUUUAAUCUGCCCAGAAAACAGUAUUCUGUUGCUGCUGUUUACAUUUUGUAAUAUGCAAACGUUCUCCUGUUUUGUUUUUGUUUUGUCUGUGUGUGCUGUGUAGUAAAUGGGCCCUAGCUGAAUGCUGUUGUGCAUCCCUGUGUUGCAUAAUAACAACAAAUGCUCCUGGAAUGGCUAAAAGGCUUGAGGACCACAUUUGUUUUCAUGACAUUUAAUCCAGCGUUAAUCAUGACGCCCUGCUUUUAUUCAUGUCAUCGUACAAAUCUCUUGGAAAAAUGCAAACAUUCCGAGCACACUGUUUGCACUCUGACCCACAUGCCUCACUGGAAACACGGGCCUUGUGCAUGAGGUCUGAGUUUUAAGCACGCCAUUCUCCAUUGCAAAAACCCAAAACACGCAAGGACGAGAUUAGGAGUUAUGGUGACUUUGAUGCACAAAUACAGUGACGCCAUGAAGCCUGUCAGCUUAUCCAUGUUUCCAUCUGUGUGUGUGUGUGUGAAACAUUUUGCUGCCUGAGAGCAAACAUCAUGAAACACACAUGGCUUUAUUUGACAUUACCAAAGACGCCGUGCUUUGUGCGAUAACAGUUUUGUCCAGGGGUUAUUCCCCUUAGCGGGAACGUUUUCACGUCUCGUGUCUGCAGAUUUGGGGUGUGACGUCAUUUGUGUCGCCUGUGCUCAGGCUCUCUCACGACACAGGAUGCUUCCUUUAUUGGAAUUAAACAACCUUAAGAUAUGGGGUAAUCUGGAGGGAGCUUGGCCUUCAUCUGAACCUUUAUCUCAAUUCAAAUGUAUUAUAUAUAUUU
ensembl:lncRNA